rnacentral:rRNA from 1 species
AAGCGGAGGAAAAGAAACCAACAGGGAUUGCCCUAGUAACGGCGAGUGAAGCGGCAACAGCUCAAAUUUGAAAGCUGGCCUUCGGGUCCGCAUUGUAAUUUGUAGAGGAUGCUUUGGGUAAAACGCCAGUCUAAGUUCCUUGGAACAGGACGUCAUAGAGGGUGAGAAUCCCGUAUGUGACUGGAAAUGUUAACCUAUGUAAAGCUCCUUCGACGAGUCGAGUUGUUUGGGAAUGCAGCUCUAAAUGGGAGGUAAAUUUCUUCUAAAGCUAAAUAUUGGCGAGAGACCGAUAGCGCACAAGUAGAGUGAUCGAAAGAUGAAAAGCACUUUGGAAAGAGAGUUAAAAAGCACGUGAAAUUGUUGAAAGGGAAGCGCUUGCAAUCAGACUUGUUUAAACUGUUCGGCCGGUCUUCUGACCGGUUUACUCAGUUUGGACAGGCCAGCAUCAGUUUCGGCGGCCGGAUAAAGGCUCUGGGAAUGUGGCCUCCACUUCGGUGGAGGUGUUAUAGCCCAGUGUGUAAUACGGCCAGCCGGGACUGAGGUCCGCGCUUCGGCUAGGAUGCUGGCGUAAUGGUUGUAAGCGACCCGUCUUG